UGGCGGUGACUGGAUUCGAACCAGUGACGUCACGGGUAUGAGCCGUGUGCUCUACCACUGAGCUACACCGCC
rnacentral:tRNA from 1 species